GCAACGCUCUGGUACCGUGCCGCGCGAACUUUCCACCCGACCGCGGAACGGGGAAGCCGGUGCGAAUCCGGCGCGGGCCCGCCACUGUCAGCGAGGACGUUCGCCGCACGCCGAGGUCGGCAGCCACUGGCGCAUCGAUUGCGCCGGGAAGGCGCGGUGGAAAUGCUCGCGAGCCAGGAAACCCGGCCACGGUCACGAUCGUCUG
rfam:Conexibacter woesei DSM 14684, complete genome.